rnacentral:rRNA from 1 species
UACGAAGGGGGCUAGCGUUGCUCGGAAUCACUGGGCGUAAAGGGUGCGUAGGCGGGUCUUAAGUCGGGUGGGAAAUCCUGGAGCUCAACUCCAGAACUGCCUUCGAUACUGGACGAUCUUGAGUUCCGGGAAGAGGUGAGUGGAACUGCGAGUGUAGAGGUGAAAUUCGUAGAUAUUCGCAAGAACACCAGUGGCGAAGGCGGCUCACUGGUCCGGUACUGACGCUGAGGCACGAAAGCGUGGGGAGCAAACAGG